AAAAACAUGGCCUUUAGAUUAUAAUUUAAGGUCUAGCCUGCUCAAUGAAUUUUAAAUAGCCGCAGUAUCCUGACUGUGCAAAGGUAGCAUAAUCAUUAGUUUUUUAAUUGAAAGCUGGAAUGAAAGGUUGAAUGAGAAAAUGACUGUCUCUAUGAAAAUUUUUUAGAAUUUUAUUUUUAAGUAAAAAAGCUUAAAUUUGAAUAAAAGACGAGAAGACCCUAUAGAGUUUUAUAUUUUAUUUAAAGUAGGUUUUCUUUAGUAUCUUAAAAUUUACUUAAUUAUAAUAUUUGGUUGGGGUGAUCGGAAAAUUAAUGAAACUUUAUUUUUAAUACAACAUUUAUUUAUGAAAAUAUGAUCCUUAUUUUUAGAUUAUAAGAUAAAAUUACCUUAGGGAUAACAGCGUAAUUUUUUUUGAGAGUUCAUAUCGAAAAAAAAGAUUGCGACCUCGAUGUUGGAUUAAAAUAAAUUUUUGGUGUAGGAGCUAAAAAGAUUAGGUCUGUUCGACCUUUAAAAUUUUACUUGAUCUGAGUU
rnacentral:rRNA from 1 species